UACAGAGGUCUCAAGCGUUGUUCGGAUUUACUGGGCGUAAAGGGCUCGUAGGCGGCUGACCAAGUCGAGUGUGAAAGCCCCGGGCUCAACCUGGGAGGUGCGCUCGAGACUGGUCUGCUUGAGUUCGGGAGAGGAGCGUGGAAUUCCCAGUGUAGAGGUGAAAUUCGUAGAUAUUGGGAAGAACACCGGUGGCGAAGGCGGCGCUCUGGACCGAGACUGACGCUGAGGCGCGAAAGCGUGGGGAGCAAACAGG
rnacentral:rRNA from 1 species